rnacentral:pre_miRNA from 1 species
CAAAUCCUAUAGGCAUUUGCUAGAAUACACCCACUUAUUUUUUAGAAGGAGUAUUUUAGCAAGUGAAUAUAUAUAUAUAUA